rnacentral:rRNA from 1 species
UACGUAGGGGGCGAGCGUUGUCCGGAUUUAUUGGGCGUAAAGCGCGGGCAGGCGGCCCCGUAAGUCGGCCGUGAAAGCGCCGGGCUCAACUCGGCGAGGACGGGCGAGACUGCGGGGCUCGAGCAAGGCAGAGGGCGGUGGAAUUCCGGGUGUAGUGGUGGAAUGCGUAGAGCUCCGGAGGAACACCAGUGGCGAAGGCGGCCGCCUGGGCCUUUGCUGACGCUGAGCCGCGAAAGCGUGGGGAGCGAGCCGG